rnacentral:lncRNA from 1 species
GCUCUGCAGAAUUCCCAGGGGUUGGAACAGGAGGAUGAAAAAAGGCUUGAAAUUCUGACUGCAAGUGGGAAGAGAGCACCAGGCAGUUGACCCGGACGCUAAAGGAAAAGAAAAAAGAAGCCAACUGAAAAGAGAUCUGAGCGCUGAUCCCCGUGAGAAAGGACAAAGUCACAUCCAAAGAAGCCGUUAUGCUGCCUUUGUUCCUGGACUCUACAGAGAUCCAUAUCCAGUGUGAAACAUCUCUCUGAUCACGUAUUAGAAGUCAGCAAAUAUCAUUGAAUGCAUGAAAUGAAUCAAUCCCAUGGAAAUUUAGUUUUAAACGAAGCUUUAUUGUGAAAGAUUUCAAGCAUUGGGAAGUAAAUUGCUGGGAGCAAGCCCCCCAAAAUCUGGCUAUAAACCAGCCCCAAAACUGCCCAUAAACAAAAUCUCUGCAGCACUGUGACAUGUUCAUAAUGGCACUAACGCCCAAGCUGGAAGGUUGUGGGUUUACGGGAAUGAGGGCAAGGAACACCUGGCCCGCCCAGGGCGGAAAACCGCUUAAAGGCAUUCUUAAGCCACAAACAAUAGCAUGAGCGAUCUGUGUCUUAAGGGCAUGUUCCUGCUGCAGUUAAUUAGCCCAACCUAGUCCUUUAAUUUGGCCCAUCCCUUCAUUUCCCAUAAGGGAUACUUUUAGUUAAUUUAAUAUCUAUAGAAACAAUGCUAGUGACUGGUUUGCUGUUAAUAAAUAUGUGGGUAAAUCUCUGUUCAGGGCUCUCAGCUCUGAAGGCUGUGAGACCCCUGAUUUCCCACUUCACACCU